UCAAGGUGACGUGAUCCGGCCCCUGUGGAAGCAGGUGGAGCUGCUCUUCAACACAAGAUACGGUCAGACAAGGGCGGCAUGUCUGAAGACUGUGGGCCAGGAACCUCCGGGGAGCUGGGUUGGCUGAAGCCAAUCAAAAUUGAGCCAGAGGAUCUGGACAUCAUUGCGGUCACUGUCCCAAGUAAGCGACGGACAUCUGACCACCCCCUGCAGAAAUGAGGACCGUAACAUAAGCCUCCUGAGGGUCUGCCCUGGUGAAGAAGAGGCCUCCAGGCCACUGUUUCUCUCCAUGGAUUCUGAGGCCCACCUGGGUAUUGUGAAUUCUUUCUCUGGCCACAUCUGCCCCCUGCAUUGUGAACCAGUGUUCUUAGCUCUGACGUUCCAGAAGAUCCCCUCAAACAUCACCUCCCUGGCUUGGCUUCCCUGGGAUUUGUGAGGCUGGAGAGAAGAAAAAGGCAUAAGCCUGAGAGGCUCCAAGUUGGACCCUACCCCCUGCCAAGCCUCAUUUUCCACAUCUUCAGAGGAGAGGGUAGAUUUGGGCACUGGAGCCUCAGUAUGGGGUGACUGUCAGAAGCCAAGAGGGUGCCGGACGCAGUGGCUCAUACUUGUAAUCCCGGCAUUUUGGGUGGCUGACAUGGGAGGAUUGCUUGAGGCCAGGAGUUCAAGACCAGACUGGGCAACAUAAAAAGACCCCCCAUCUCUACAAAAAAUACAAAACAUUAGCCAAAUGUGGUGGUGUGUGACUGUCAGUGCAGCUUCUCAGGAGGCUGAGGCAGGAGAAUCACUUGAGCCCAAGAGUUGGAGGCUGCAGUGAGCUGUGAUCACACCACUGCACUGCAGCCUGGGCAACCAGAGGAAGACCCUGUCUCAAAA
rnacentral:lncRNA from 1 species